CAGAACUUAGUUUAUUCAAAUAUUAAUUUUGGGUAUUAAAGAUCUAGACUUCUAGAGUUCUGA
rnacentral:tRNA from 1 species